CUACGGGUUGCUCCAGUAGGGAAUAUUGGACAAUGGGCGAAAGCCUGAUCCAGCAACGCCGCGUGCACGAUGACGGCCUUCGGGUUGUAAGGUGCUUUUAGAGGAGAUGAGAAAGGACAGUAUCCUCUGAAUAAGCCUCGGCGAACUACGUGCCAGCAGGCCGCGGUAAAACGUAGGAGGCAAGCGUUAUCCGGAUUUAUUGGGCGUAAAGCGCGUGCAGGCGGUUUGACAAGUUGGAUGUGAAAGCUCCCGGCUUAACUGGGAGAGGUCGUUCAAAACUGUCAGACUAGAGAAUGGGAGAGGGAGGUGGAAUUCCGGGUGUAGUGGUGAAAUGCGUAGAUAUCCGGAGGAACACCAGUGGCGAAAGCGGCCUCCUAGACCAUUUCUGACGCUAAGACGCGAAAGCUAGGGUAGCAAACGGGAUUAGAUACCCCAGUAGUC
rnacentral:rRNA from 1 species